CUGUCAACCUACUUUUGCACUAAAAUGGUUUAAUAUUUGUUUGUUUUUUAAUUGUGGAAAGAAGUUUCACCGAUCAAUAAUUAUUUAGUAAAACACUAUUUUGGCCAUGGAAAGCUGAUAAAUUCUGAACAGAUACCCAAAUUCUAAGUAGGUUGGUCAGAUUUAUUACCUACUUGGACAAAAUAGACUCGUGAGACGUUAACAAUAAGACAGGAUAUGAUUAAAUGCCUGAGAAGUGGUAUAGACCAGUUGUUCCCGUGGAAGAGGCACUGGUAGCAUUGCAUGAGAAAGUAACGGGAUCUCCUGGAACUACUGGUAUAAUCAGAAUGGAAGAAGAACUCAGAAAAGAGAGAGAGCAGCAUGGAACCAGAGGAUUUAAGAAAGACAUCAAAAAAAGGCAACUAAACCAAGUUAUUUUUCAGGACAGAAUUCUGGAGAAGUCCCUACAUCUCUCCUCAUUCCGAAUUAAAACCCAGGAGGUGCUUCUCUGGGAAAAGAAAAGAAGGAAUGCCUACAGCUGUGUUUGCUGCCAAAGGCCUUAAUGAAAGAUUGCAGGAUUGAACAGAUAAAUAAAUGUGGUGAUGUUGAUGGAAGCCAGAGUUUUCACUGUGAUAAAACGGAAUAUGGAAGGAGGGAAGACAAAGAAAACCUUACAGGGUUAGAUUGGAAUUGGAGAUAUCAGUAGGAACAGGUAUUUCCUGAGUCUGUUGAAAGUGCAAGACACAGUGACACCUCAGGAAUAACGAGCAUACUUAAAGCCUAGAUGUUGGUUUCUAAAUGUCAUUCUGUACUAAAAGGAAGCAGGGCAAAUUGAAGAUAUGGCUCAGUCCAGGACUGGGACAGGGAAGAUAUAAGAUGAGCCUGGAACAUCUUAUUGUCUAGGAAGUGCUCAAAAAAUAAAAAUGGAGGCAUGUUAAAAGGACAGAGGAGCCAGCUUGAAGGGACUCCCAUUGUAUGCAUAUGGGACAAUUUCAGCAUCCAGCAUUAAGAAGCAUAAUGGACUAUAACACAGUGAAUGAAAUGGGAAUCCAUGAAUGCAUACUGAUAAAUAAUAGGUAAACAAACAAAUAAAUGAAGAAGAAAGGAAGGCUCUUCCUAACUGAUGCCAACUGAUAAAUGUGGAGAGAAUGGUGAAUCUGGGAAAACACUAUUUGCAACCAUCACAGAACAGAUUGUUUUAGGAAAGAUUUAUCAAUGGAGACCAAAUCUAGGGAGAAAAGUUUGGUGAGAAACGAAUAUUUGCAUCGUUCCAAACUGUUUCCACACGGAUUGCUUAUUCAUUGCAAGGGGAAAAUAGUUAUUCCACAGUGGAGAAAUUGGACAACACUUUACCUGGUGAUAAAAAUUAACAUCACUAACGUGUGGCAGAUGGACAAGGUGCCUUCAGAUAUGACACCCUAAGAAGGAUGCAUCAUGUAUGUGAUAUUCCAACUGGGCAUAUAUUACCUGAAUGGAUUUAAGAGGAAAUAUCAGAUGUGACAAGUAAAUGCAAUAAAUAACCAUGAACUGCUGGAUCUCACACUGGAGAGAAACACUGCUAUAAAGGGCAUAACGGGGCAUUUAAUAAAAUUAGAAUAUAAGCUGUAGAUUAGACAAGCAUUGCACUAUUGUUUAACUUUGUGAAUU
ensembl:lncRNA